rnacentral:rRNA from 1 species
ACUCAAAUGAAUUGACGGGAGCUUACACAAGCGGUGGAGCAUGUGGUUUAAUUCGAUAAUACGCGCAGAACCUUACCAACUCUUGAGAAUGUAAUUAAAAAAUAUAAUUUUAGUUUACACAGGCGUUGCAUGGCUGUCGUCAGCUCGUGUUUUGAAAUGUUUGGUUAAAUCCUUUAACGAGCGUAACCCCUAUUGUUUGUUGCUACUUAAUUUAAGUUUCUUUGUGCAAAAGUAGGAAAAAUAAUUAAGGCACUCUAACAAAAAUGUCAGCGAUAUGUUGAAGGAAGGUGGGGAUGACGUCAAGUCUUCAUGGCCCUUAUGAGUUGGGCUACACACGUGCUACAAUGGUAAUCACAAUAAGAGGCAAUAAUGAUUAAAAGUUGGAGCAAAUCUACAAAAAUUAUCUCAGUUCGGAUUAUGGGCUGCAACUCGCCCAUAUGAAGUUGGAAUCGCUAGUAAUCGCAAAACAGCAUGUUGCGGUGAAUAUGUUACUAAGCUUUGUACACACCGCCCGU